UACAGAGGGUGCAAGCGUUAAUCGGAAUUACUGGGCGUAAAGCGUGCGUAGACGGUUAUGUAAGUCGGGUGUGAAAGCCCCGGGCUCAACCUGGGAAUGCCAUUCGAGACUGCAUAGCUAGGGUGCGGAAGAGGGAAGCGGAAUUUCCGGUGUAGCGGUGAAAUGCGUAGAUAUCAGGAGGAACACCGGUGGCGAAGGCGGGUCUCUGGGCAGUAACUGACGCUGGGGAGCGAAAGCGUGGGGAGCAAACGGG
rnacentral:rRNA from 1 species